rnacentral:rRNA from 1 species
AACGAACGCUGGCGGCAGGCCUAACACAUGCAAGUCGGACGCCCUGGCAACAGGGAGUGGCAGACGGGUGAGUAACGCGUGGGAACGUGCCCUUCGGUUCGGAAUAACUCAGGGAAACUUGAGCUAAUACCGAAUACGUGCGAGAGCAGAAAGAUUUAUCGCCGAAGGAGCGGGACGCGUCCGAUUAGCUAGUUGGUGAGGUAAUGGCUCACCAAGGCGACGAUCGGUAGCUGGUCUGAGAGGAUGAGCAGCCACACUGGGACUGAGACACGGCCCAGAGUCCUACGUGAGGCAGCAGUGGGGAAUAUUGGACAAUGGGCGCAAGCCUGAUCCAGCCAUGCCGCGUGAGUGAUGAAGGCCCUAGGGUUGUAAGCUCUUUCGCCAGGGACGAUAAUGACGGUACCUGGAUAAGAAGCCCCGGCUAACUUCGUGCCAGCCGCCGCGGUAA